UUUUUUAAAAAGACUUUCAAAAAAAACUCUACUUCUUUAACAUGUUCCAAAUCGCAUCUUAAAACCACCGGUUGACCCGUUUUCUAAGCCAUCUCGAACUAAAUGGGGAAACCCAUUUCUACCAAAAUGGAGGUAAGACAAAUCCUAAUCUAGCUGAUUCACCAAAAUGUUUAUACAUUUGAAGUUUAUAUUUUUUGUAUGUCAUAACACAUCUAUCCUAUACUAAAAGCAAGAUAUGCUCAAAGGAGAAGCAUGCCACGUCCUCAUAAAAAAUCAUCAACUCAGAUGUUGACAGCUCACACUCCUUGCUAUGUCAUGAAUAACUUCCCCGGGAUUUCAUAGACGUGUUUGAGUUUCAUAAAAUACUUGGGCCUUUGCUAAUUAAAAGCUAAUCUCCUCUAAGCUUACUUUAUGGCCCAGCUUAUCAGCACGAAAACCAACUCAUAUACUGUUCAUCUUCCUUGAUGUUUUGAUCUCCUCAGCUCAUCCUGUGUAUCGUUCACCUACCACUUUUAAUUCACUUAAACCACCAUUGUUACUGCCUCAAUCAAAAGCCUAUGAAACUGUUGUGAUUUCCUCACCUCAGCACCCUAUAUAUAUCGUAUUCAGACUUAUUUGUUUUCCAAUGUAUUAUACAGACCUCUAUUUUUUCAGCGGCGCCUCUCCUAGGUUGGGUGGAGUUCUGGUAGUCAUAAAGUAUGUUCAGAUUCACAGGAUUCUGUCAUUGACGGUGGUCGCAGUGGAAUUUUAGCUUCUGGUAGCAGCAAAGGCUGUUGAGUAUCACAAGCUUCUGAGGAUUAUGAUGGCUAUGUAUACCACAAAGAUGAUUGGAACAGAGUUUCAUCGAUGGCUUUAGAUGGUGGAACGGUGGAGACGUUGGGACUGAAAUUAUUUGUGAGCUUUUACCCGUGAGUGUGGAGUCUGCGGAGUUUUGGUUUCUGGUGAUGGUAAAAUUGGUUGAGAUUGAAUGGAUUACUCAGGAUUUUCAAAGUGUCUCCACUUUCUCCUUUCUCCAGUCUUCUCUUUUAACGCCUACAGGCCUGUAACGGUGACUCUUUUUCUCACCAUCGAGGUCCAAACAUCAACCUUCUCUUAAACCCAAGAUAAGUCAAAACGUUAUUAGAAUUGAAGUGAUGGAGUAAUGGGAUUUGACAAGGAGUUUUGUAAGGAUGCGUAGAUGAGAUGAUGAUCUAUGUUGCAAACUGGCCAUGAUGAAGAUGAAAGGAAUCCAAUUCUCAGGACGCGCAAGCGAAGAAGGACGAGCGUAGAUAACAUAUCGAGCAUCUUCCAAACAAGAUAGUCAAAUGGUGAAUAGUGUACUGCAUACAAAGGUAUAGCUCGACCAGAGUUUUGUGAAAACAAUAGAUAAGGUUAAUAGAUCUCAAGUUUGGCUUUCAUUGAGGUUUGAUUUUCUUUUUCAUGGAUGCAUCAUGUUUGUUGUUAUGUGGAGUGGACAUGAUGUUGAUGGAUGUCUUGGAAACACUGAUCUUGAGAAGUCUAUUACAAAUGGCUUGACCAAUAAAGAUUAACUUUCUCGAAGUAAAAAGAUCAGUCCCCACCAGAAAUUUGAAGUUGCUAGAGUCUAAGGUGUCUCUAUAAUCUAAUAGCAGCUGCUAAUGUCUAAUAUUAUAAUUAAAUUACUUUCUUUUGAUUUGCUUAUACUGUUAUGAUCCCUAUAGUUGUUCAUAUUGAGCUGUGCAAAUAUGACUGUUUUUUGGGUUCCAUAAUGGAAAGAAGAUAAUGAUGCUGAAGGCGUAAACGAUCAACUCCAAUAAUCCCGUUGUCAUUCAUGUCCUUCUCUCACGUUCUUUUCUCUGUUAUGAAGUUACUCCGGAAAAUUCUAGGUAAUAUCAAUAGUCUUAUAGCUUUGAGAACCCUGUUUCUUCCUCUCUUUUCAUAUUACAUUGAUAGUUUACUAAACUAUGAGUAUGUGAGUAAUCAUUUAUGAUUAUUGACAUUGACAAAACGAUAAUGGUUUCGGAGUGGCCUGCUACCGUUUGGUUAAGAUUCUCUUAUGAUUGUUGUUCUAUAGAAUUGUCACAAAUCCAGUGCUUCUCUUAAAUACGGGUCAAUAUUAUCAUUCGCUUCAAAUCAGUAUUGGUUCUGGGAGGAAAUUGUGACAAUAUGCGUGUUAAGAAAGGGGAAACAUCACGAAAAGAAGAACAAGUCUUAAAGGCUAAACGUGACAGCUAGGGCCGUACAAUUUUUUGUUAACGAUCACCUUAUUUGCCUCGAUGUUUUUAAAACAAAUGAUGUAAUAUAUUUUUCCUACAUAGGGCGUAAAAUUUGUUGUUAUUCUAAGUUUUUACUUCGAGACUUAAUAGCUUCUCCUACGCA